CACGUAGGGGGUCGAGCGUUGUCCGGAAUUUAUUGGGGCGUAAAGAGCUCGUAGGCGGUUUGGUAAGUCGGGUGUGAAAAUCUCCACGCUCAACGUGGAGGGGGCCACUCGAUACUGCCAUGACUCGAGUCCGGUAGAGGAGUGUGGAAUUCCCGGUGUAGCGGUGAAAUGCGCAGAUAUCGGGGAGGAACACCCCGUAGCGAAGGCGGCACUCUGGGGCCGGAACUGACGCUGAGGAGCGAAAAGCGUGGGGGAGCAAACAGG
rnacentral:rRNA from 1 species